UACGUAGGUGGCAAGCGUUAUCCGGAAUUAUUGGGCGUAAAGAGCGCGCAGGUGGCUAAUUAAGUCUGAUGUGAAAGCCCACGGCUUAACCGUGGAGGGUCAUUGGAAACUGGUUGACUUGAGUGCAGAAGAGGGAAGUGGAAUUCCAUGUGUAGCGGUGAAAUGCGUAGAGAUAUGGAGGAACACCAGUGGCGAAGGCGGCUUCCUGGUCUGUAACUGACACUGAGGCGCGAAAGCGUGGGGAGCAAACAGG
rnacentral:rRNA from 1 species